rnacentral:misc_RNA from 1 species
UGCUGGUGGAGCUGAUAUCAAGGUCUAUCUUUUCAUCUCUUCUCUUAUUUUAAUUUUCUUAUUUGAUAGCUUUUGGUAUUCAUAUAAAAAGUUCUAUGAUACUUUGUGCAUGGUUAAUGCCUUCUAUUUCUUUUUUAUUGUGUGAUUACUUAUCAAAAGUAGUGUGUUUCCAAAAUGUUGGUUGUUGUUAUUGAUGAGGUCUUAUUUGAAUAAAAUUUUGCCUUCUGAUUUGUUGUGUUUGUUAAGAUUUAAGAAUAAGAA